rnacentral:rRNA from 1 species
CCUACGGGAGGCAGCAGUGAGGAAUAUUGGUCAAUGGACGAAAGUCUGAACCAGCCACGUAGCGUGAAGGAUGACUGCCCUAUGGGUUGUAAACUUCUUUUAUAAAGGAAUAAAACGAGGUACGUGUCCAUUUUUGCAUGUACUUUAUGAAUACGGAACGGCUAAUUCCGUGCAAGCAGCCGCGGUAAUACGGAGGAUCUGAGCGUUAUCCGGAUUUAGUGGGUUUAAAGGGAGCGUAGUGGGGUUGUUAAGUUAGAUGUGAAAGCUUGCGGCUCAACCGGAAAAUUGCAAUUGAUACUGGGAGUCUUGAGUACAGGGGAGGUAGGCGGAAUUCGUGGUGUAGCGGUGAAAUGCUUAGAUAUGACGAAGAACCCUGAUUGCGAAGGCAGCUUACUGAA